AACGAACGCUGGCGACAUGCCUAACACAUGCAAGUCGAACGAACCCUUCGGGGUUAGUGGCGCACGGGUGCGUAACGCGUGGGAGUCUGCCCUUGGCUUCGGAAUAACAGUUAGAAAUGACUGCUAAUACCGGAUGAUGUCGCAAGACCAAAGAUUUAUCGGCCAGGGAUGAGCCCGCGUAGGAUUAGGUAGUUGGUGGGGUAAAGGCCUACCAAGCCGACGAUCCUUAGCUGGUCUGAGAGGAUGAUCAGCCACACUGGGACUGAGACACGGCCCAGACUCCUACGGGAGGCAGCAGUGGGGAAUAUUGGACAAUGGGGGCAACCCUGAUCCAGCAAUGCCGCGUGAGUGAUGAAGGCCUUAGGGUUGUAAAGCUCUUUUACCCGGGAUGAUAAUGACAGUACCGGGAGAAUAAGCUCCGGCUAACUCCGUGCCAGCAGCCGCCGUAAAAC
rnacentral:rRNA from 1 species